AUUGAACGCUGGCGGGAGGCCUAACACAUGCAAGUCGAACGAAAGGCGGACGGGAGAGUAAUGUCUGGGAAACUGCCUGAUGGAGGGGGAUAACUACUGGAAACGGUAGCUAAUACCGCAUCCCAUCGGAUGUGCCCAGAUGGGAUGAGCUAGGAGGUGGGGUAAAGGCGCACCUAGGCGACGAUCUCUAGCUGGUCGGAGAGGAUGACCAGCCACACUGGAACUGAGCCACGGUCCAGACUCCUACGGGAGGCAGCAGUGGGGAAUAUUGCACAAUGGGCGCAAGCCUGAUGCAGCCAUGCCGCGUGUAUGAAGAAGGCCUUCGCGUUGUAAAGUACUUUCAGCGGGGAGGCGUUACCCGCAGAAGAAGCACCGGCUAACUCCGUGCCAGCAGCCGCGGUAAUUC
rnacentral:rRNA from 1 species